UGAAAAUUAGCAGAGUCCAUCCUGAACUAUUUUUUUUUGAGAUUCAGGGAUGGUAGCCCCACGGACAACGUAAGAUUCAGCAAAAGGCUAAUGUGUUUUAUACUAUAAAUACAAGUCAAGUUUGAUUGAACCACAAACAAGGCUCAUUGUAUCUGUAUAUUGCACGCGAAAGUGGCUAGUGUAUAUAGUAUUGUCUUAUAUCCGUCAUCUUGGAGGAAG
rnacentral:misc_RNA from 1 species